rnacentral:lncRNA from 1 species
UUCCAUUUUAUUACAAAAAACAUCCUCUAUAACUUCAACUUCUAUGUUUUGUAACUUAUUAGAAAAGAUUCCAUACUUUAUGUUUUAGUCACUACUAUCUACAUUAUUACAAAUUAAUGCAAAUACUUCUCCAAUCUCCUUUUCUUUUUUCUUAGUUAUUAGAGUAUUUAAUACCUUUCUUCACUAUUUCAAUUAUCAUUUGGCUCUUCUUCUUGAUCACAUUGAUAAUAAGCUCAUGAAAACCUUUUUUAGCAAUACCAUGAGUUUCUUUCAAAAUAAGAUUAAUCUUGGCAUCCAAAAUCUUAUCUUCUAAAAUGCCUAUUAUAUCAACUGAGAAUUCAAUAUUAUUAGUUUUUUGAUAGCUUAUGCUUCUUUCACCA